GAAAUUGAACUCGCUGUGAAGAUGCAGUGUACCCGCGGCAAGACGGAAAGACCCCGUGAACCUUUACUAUAGCUUGACACUGAACAUUGAGCCUUGAUGUGUAGGAUAGGUGGGAGGCUUUGAAGUGUGGACGCCAGUCUGCAUGGAGCCGACCUUGAAAUACCACCCUUUAAUGUUUGAUGUUCUAACGUUGGCCCGUAAUCCGGGUUGCGGACAGUGUCUGGUGGGUAGUUUGACUGGGGCGGUCUCCUCCUAAAGAGUAACGGAGGAGCACGAAGGUUGGCUAAUCCUGGUCGGACAUCAGGAGGUUAGUGCAAUGGCAUAAGCCAGCUUGACUGCGAGCGUGACGGCGCGAGCAGGUGCGAAAGCAGGUCAUAGUGAUCCGGUGGUUCUGAAUGGAAGGGCCAUCGCUCAACGGAUAAAAGGUACUCCGGGGAUAACAGGCUGAUACCGCCCAAGAGUUCAUAUCGACGGCGGUGUUUGGCACCUCGAUGUCGGCUCAUCACAUCCUGGGGCUGAAGUAGGUCCCAAGGGUAUGGCUGUUCGCCAUUUAAAGUGGUACGCGAGCUGGGUUUAGAACGUCGUGAGACAGUUCGGUCCCUAUCUGCCGUGGGCGCUGGAGAACUGAGGGGGGCUGCUCCUAGUACGAGAGGACCGGAGUGGACGCAUCACUGGUGUUCGGGUUGUCAUGCCAAUGGCACUGCCCGGUAGCUAAAUGCGGAAGAGAUAAGUGCUGAAAGCAUCUAAGCACGAAACUUGC
rnacentral:rRNA from 1 species